CCAAUAUCUUCUGUCUGUCUAGUACAUGAACAGGACCAAUGUUGCUUCUAUGCCCCAUAUUUCCUCUUUCAUAGUAAUUUUGUAACUUGUUCUUACAAUUUUUAUGUCCACUUCCUCUCUGAUGCCUAUGGUUUACAUCAAAGAACCAGUAUCCGUUUUGUCCAUGCUACUUAUCCUUCUGCUGUUCAAUGGGCAACCCGACUGAUGAACGAAUAAUGUAUCUGAAUGAUAACGAUAUGUAAACAGUUUCACAGUAUAACAGGUUUGUCACCCUGAUCCGAUUAACAAUCACGUGAAUUGGUCUUUUAUGGCUUUAACCCUUUGUGAGCCAGAGGGGAGGGGAACGCAAUGCUGUUACUCUACGUUGCACACCCCUCUGGAAACCAAAGUGUUAAGAGU